rnacentral:rRNA from 1 species
UGGGGAAUUUUGGACAAUGGGCGAAAGCCUGAUCCAGCAAUGCCGCGUGUGUGAAGAAGGCCUUCGGGUUGUAAAGCACUUUUGUCCGGAAAGAAAUCCUUGGCUCUAAUACAGUCGGGGGAUGACGGUACCGGAAGAAUAAGCACCGGCUAACUACGUGCCAGCAGCCGCGGUAAUACGUAGGGUGCAAGCGUUAAUCGGAAUUACUGGGCGUAAAGCGUGCGCAGGCGGUUUGCUAAGACCGAUGUGAAAUCCCGGGCUCAACCUGGGAACUGCAUUGGUGAUUGGCAGGCUAGAGUAUGGCAGAGGGGGGUAGAAUUCCACGUGUAGCAGUGAAAUGCGUAGAGAUGUGGAGGAAUACCGAUGGCGAAGGCAGCCCCUGGGCCAAUACUGACGCUCAUGCACGAAAGCGUGGGGAGCAAACAGGAUUAGAUACCCUGGUAGUCCACGCCCUAAACGAUGUCAACUAGUUGUUGGGGAUUCAUUUCCUUAGUAACGUAGCUAACGCGUGAAGUUGACCGCCUGGGGAGUACGGUCGCAAGAUUAAAACUCAAAGGAAUUGACGGGGUCAUAGCUGUUUCCUG